GGGGCGAGUUUCGGCGUAUACCAGGGCAGCGGACUCAUAAUCCGUCGGCCGUGGGUUCGAGUCCCACCCGCCUCACCU
rnacentral:tRNA from 1 species